GUCAAUAUGGUGUCACAUUACGAGUUUUUGAGCCGGAUUCUUUUUAGACAGUGCUCCAAGGAAAUCCUUAAGUUCAGCAGGUGGUUAAUGAAAGAAGGCCUGAUUUAAAAAUCAAUGAAAUGUCCCUGCUCUCAUCUUAUGAGGUUGAAACUACGAAAUGGCAAAAAUGAGCCAAUAUGGAUAUGCAGAGAUUCAUGUCACAAAGGAAAAUCCUUUGCAAAGUCCAUCCGACAUGGCUCCAUGUUUGAGAAGUCUCAUAUUUCACUUCAAAUGUGGAUGCAUUUCAUUUAUAGAUUUGCCCAAGGUCUUCGACUGCGACAAGUGGAAAUGCUACAGGAGGGGAUUAUUUGGAGCUCUGCAACUCUGAGUAAAUUGGCAGACAAGCUGAGAAGAGUUUGAAAUCUGCAAUGAAAAGAAUGAGAAAAAGAGGCAAGCAGACGAUUGGAAGAAGAAGAGAAAUUCUUCUGAUAGAUGAAAGCAAAUUUGGCCAUAAAAGAAAUUACAACAGAGGACGAGCAAACAACAGAAGCACCUGGGUAUUCGGAAUGCUAGGCAUCAAGGUUGAGCGGAGGAGACCUAUUUUUAAAAUUGUGCAUUGUCGUUCAGCCAGAAAUCUCAUGCCACCCAUAAAGAAGCACAUUAGCCAGGGAAGCUCAGUCAUUUCAGAUGGAUGGAGGUCUUACAGAAAUCUUCAAAAUGAAGGUUAUGACCACAGGAUCGUCAACCAUAAAGAACAUUUUGUUGACCCUUUUACAGGUGCACAUACACAGAAUCUGGAGAGACUUUGGGGUGUUUGUAAGUCAACUAUUUGGAGACUAAGAGGAAACCGCACACAAAAUAUGUUGAAAGACCAUUUGGAAUUGAGUGGAGUGAUUGUGGCGUGGGAACAAUCACAGAAAUGGACCACUUGGAAUGCUUUUGCAUGACAUCAAGAAAAAAUAUACAAUGCCUACAUGAAAUGUACUUGCAUAUACUGUAGAUAGAUAAACAAGUUUUAUUUAUUUUCAGUUAAAGACUAAGACCCUGAAAAAAAAGACUUCUUCCGCUGAUGAAAUAUUCAGAUGGUCGUUUUCAACUUUCAGUUUAUGUAUGUUAUGUUGGAAGUACUGUAUGAAAACUUGGAAAUAUGUAUGUAAUUAAGAACAUGAAGUUCAUAAUAGCCUGUGUUUUUUAUAUUUAGAGUGCUAAAUAGAAGUGUAAUUACAUUUGUUUACAGCAGCACAUUUGUUCUUGGCCAUAAAAAGUUAUAAUAGGUUUGUUAAUCUCAGAAGUUGUCUUAGAUUAA